GCAGGCGGUGCCCGGAUCUCUUCCGCCGCCAUUUUCUCUGCCGCGUAGGUCUCUGCUCUCUCUGCCGCUUGCCCUCGCCGCCCCGCUGCCCUCGCCCCACCAUGGAGGACUCAACCGAGAUGAGCGGCGGCCAGGAGGAGUUCGCUGAGGGCUCCAAGAUUAACGCGAGCAAGAACCAGCAGGACGACGGGAAAAUGUUCAUCGGAGGCCUCAGCUGGGACACCAGCAAGAAAGACUUGACGGAGUAUCUCUCUCGGUUUGGCGAGGUCGUGGAUUGUACAAUUAAAACAGACCCGGUGACUGGGAGGUCGAGGGGAUUUGGGUUCGUGCUCUUCAAGGACGCUGCCAGUGUGGAGAAGGUAUUGGAACUGAAGGAACACAAACUGGACGGGAAGUUAAUAGAUCCUAAAAGGGCAAAAGCUCUAAAAGGAAAGGAGCCACCAAAAAAAGUGUUUGUUGGUGGGCUGAGCCCAGAUACAUCUGAAGAACAGAUUAAGGAGUACUUUGGUGCUUUUGGCGAGAUUGAGAACAUUGAGCUUCCCAUGGACACAAAGACAAAUGAAAGGAGAGGCUUUUGUUUCAUCACAUACACAGAUGAAGAGCCGGUAAAGAAGCUGCUAGAAAGUAGAUACCAUCAAAUUGGUUCAGGCAAGUGUGAGAUCAAAGUAGCACAGCCCAAAGAGGUAUACAGGCAACAGCAGCAGCAGCAGAAAGGAGGCAAAAGCAAUGCUUCUGGUGGUCGAGGAGGUGGAAGGGGACGUGGCCGGGGUCAGGGACAGAACUGGAAUCAAGGAUAUAAUAACUACUAUGAUCAAGGCUAUGGGAACUACAACAGCACCUACAGUGAUCAAAGCUACAGUGGCUAUGGAGGCUAUGACUACUCUGGGUACAACUACCCCAAUUACGGAUACGGGCCGGGAUACACAGAUUACAGCGGCCAGCAAAGCACGUACGGAAAGGCAUCCCGCGGCGGUGGCAACCAUCAAAACAACUACCAGCCCUACUAAAGCACUACCUAGCACUGGAGGAAAACAGCGGGAACUUCAUUGCAGGCCGUGUGUCACCCUGACCACGUCUAUCUCUGGGGUCGCACGUUGCAGGCAGAGCGCAAGGCAUACACCAGAAAACGCUGUCCUGUGGUGAGAAAGAACUGCAACAGAGCCAUCUUUGCAGCACCUCCUGAGUGAGUUUGAGUGGAAGGGUGGCCUCCAUGAAAGGAACUGACUCUUUUGUAAAAGACUUUUUAGUGUUUGACACAGCUGUGUCCCAACUGUACAUAGCAGCUCACUAGUUUUCUGUUCUGGAUUUUGCUUU